UAGGGAAUCUUCGGCAAUGGACGGAANUCNGGACCGAGCAACGCCGCGUGAGUGAAGAAGGUUUUCGGAUCGUAAAGCUCUGUUGUAAGAGAAGAACGAGUGUGAGAGUGGAAAGUUCACACUGUGACGGUAUCUUACCAGAAAGGGACGGCUAACUACGUGCCAGCAGCCGCGGUAAUACGUAGGUCCCGAGCGUUGUCCGGAUUUAUUGGGCGUAAAGCGAGCGCAGGCGGUUAGAUAAGUCUGAAGUUAAAGGCUGUGGCUUAACCAUAGUACGCUUUGGAGACUGUUUAACUUGAGUGCAAGAGGGGAGAGUGGAAUUCCAUGUGUAGCGGUGAAAUGCGUAGAUAUAUGGAGGAACACCGGUGGCGAAAGCGGCUCUCUGGCUUGUAACUGACGCUGAGGCUCGAAAGCGUGGGGAGCAAACAGGAUUAGAUACCCUGGUAGUCCACGCCGUAAACGAUGAGUGCUAGGUGUUAGACCCUUUCCGGGGUUUAGUGCCGCAGCUAACGCAUUAAGCACUCCGCCUGGGGAGUACGACCGCAAGNUUG
rnacentral:rRNA from 1 species